UACAGAGGUCCCAAGCGUUGUUCGGAUUCACUGGGCGUAAGGGGUGCGUAGGCGGUCGGGUAAGUCUGAUGUGAAAUCUCACAGCUUAACUGUGAAACUGCAUUGGAUACUAUCCGGCUAGAGGAAUGGAGGGGAGACUGGAAUACUUGGUGUAGCAGUGAAAUGCGUAGAUAUCAAGUGGAACACCAGUGGCGAAGGCGAGUCUCUGGACAUUUCCUGACGCUGAGGCACGAAAGCCAGGGGAGCAAACGGG
rnacentral:rRNA from 1 species